rnacentral:misc_RNA from 1 species
GACGAGGACAUCCUUGCAAAGAAUGAGAUCGUGGAUCCUAGCAUCGGCCUCCAGAAAAGGAAGGAAUGGCUGCUUUUGACUACACCUGAGGGAGAAAGGUACCGCCAGGCUGAAAGGGUAGCCCGGCACCAGAAGAUACGGCGGUACCUGUCAGAAAAGCUGUCCAAUCUCAAGAGAAAUCACUACAAAGGCUCAUCCCUUUGCUGCCUGUCCUCCCCCGAUGCGUGGUCCCACCACGGACUGCCCAUGCUGUUGCAGGUCUGCCAUCGCUUGCACCCCAUGUUGUAGCCUUUUUACCCUUUUCUUCAUAUUAAUUUAGCUUAAUUUAUAUAUUGCCAAUACUAUUGAAAUGGAGCAAAUGUACUAUCGCAGCCAAUAUGAGCUGAAACGCCACUGCAGGUGGCACGCGAUGAGAGUUGUCUCUCAGAUUGUUCAGCAAACCUUGGUAUGCGUUGAGGUAGAAACAAAUCACUUCUUGUGCUCGUUGCACCACUAUGCCGUUCCGUGUCAAUUUUCAGCUCAUAGUGGCACAAUUAGUGCAAGGAGCAACCUGCCUAAACCUCAGCAAACACAGAGGUUCACUGAAAAUCCGACAGGUGGCUCUGAUAGUACCACACGCCAAGCGUCAUGGCGCUUCAACUAAUAUUGGUCACAAUAGUACUUCCUCAAAUGUUUCUGGUUUUUCUGUACCACCUAGCCAUUCCGCCCAGCGAAACAAUGUAUGAUUUCAUAACUUUAUAAUAAAAAUAUCAAAGCAAUGCGGCUUGUUUGACUUUAUUCUUAUUAGUAGCUGCAUUCGCCGUACUCAAAUGUCGGGCUGGCGAUUACCAGUGUGCAGUGGACAAUAUAAUUAAAUUCUAAGUGGGAUAUGCACCUCGUCAUGCUCCAGGCAUGGCAUAAUUAAGUUUCCAGAUUAUGCAUUCACAUAUUGUUGUGUUUUUUUAAGUUGUGGCCAACUCGAGCUGUUUCAAAUUAGCCAUGAAACCACCAUAA